UACGUAGGGGGCAAGCGUUGUCCGGAUUCAUUGGGCGUAAAGAGCGUGUAGGCGGCCAGGUAGGUCGGUUGUGAAAACUCGAGGCUCAACCUCGAGAUGUCGGCGGAAACCGUCUGGCUAGAGUCCGGAAGAGGAGAGUGGAAUUCCUGGUGUAGCGGUGAAAUGCGCAGAUAUCAGGAAGAACACCUAUGGCGAAGGCAGCUCUCUGGGACGGUACUGACGCUGAGACGCGAAAGCGUGGGGAGCGAACAGG
rnacentral:rRNA from 1 species